rnacentral:rRNA from 1 species
AGUGAACGCUGGCGGUAGGCCUAACACAUGCAAGUCGAACGGCAGCACAGUAAGAGCUUGCUCUUACGGGUGGCGAGUGGCGGACGGGUGAGGAAUACAUCGGAAUCUACUUUUUCGUGGGGGAUAACGAAGGGAAACUUACGCUAAUACCGCAUACGACCUACGGGUGAAAGCAGGGGAUCUUCGGACCUUGCGCGAUCGAAUGAGCCGAUGUCGGAUUAGCUAGUUGGCGGGGUAAAGGCCCACCAAGGCGACGAUCGGUAGCUGGUCUGAGAGGAUGAUCAGCCACACUGGAACUGAGACACGGUCCAGACUCCUACGGGAGGCAGCAGUGGGGAAUAUUGGACAAUGGGCGCAAGCCUUAUCCAGCCAUACCGCGUGGGUGAAGAAGGCCUUCGGGUUGUAAAGCCCUUUUGUUGGGAAAGAAAAGCAGCAGGUUAAUACCCCGCUGUUCUGACGGUACCCAAAGAAUAAGCACCGGCUAACUUCGUG